rnacentral:rRNA from 1 species
UACGUAGGUGGCAAGCGUUGUCCGGAUUUACUGGGCGUAAAGAGCGCGCAGGCGGUCGUUCAAGUCGCGUGUGAAAGCCCCCGGCUCAACUGGGGAGGGUCACGCGAUACUGAUCGACUCGAAGGCAGGAGAGGGAAGUGGAAUUCCCGGUGUAGUGGUGAAAUGCGUAGAUAUCAGGAAGAACACCGGUGGCGAAAGCGCUCUGCUAGGCCGCAACUGACACUGAGGGACGAAAGCUAGGGGAGCGAAUGGG